rnacentral:lncRNA from 1 species
UGUAUAUAUUGUGUUUUGGAAUGAAAUUCUUCAUUUUAAACGUCUUUAUGCUCUUUUGAAACUUUUGUGUGUGUAAUGUUUACUGUUACUGUCUGUUUAUUUAACUUGCUCUGGGAAUGUAAACAUGUGUCCCACGCCAUUAAAGGCCUUUAGAAUGAAAUGUCUGCAGCAUUGUCGGCUCUCUGUUCAACUGCGUGUUUCUGGCGCCACCUGCUGGCUGUUUAGGAGAAGACACGCUGGGAUCCGACAUUGCCGCUUGUGUAACUGUCAUUGGAUGGGAUUUUGAAUGUUAAUGCCUGACUGGGUACAUACACUGUCCAUCAAAUGAAACCGGAAGAAAGGUUACAUAUCGAAACAAUUUGUAAGGAAGGAUAGUGGUGUGUCCUUACCGAGCUGUUACGCCAUGCCAACUUCCCCGGUAAAGACACGGAUCCCGCUCACGAGCUUCGGUCAUCUGAUCACCGAGGUGAAGAGACAGUUGUUUGGUAUGGAGGCUCCAGCUACUGUUAACCUGACUGGCUGGAGGAGACAUUUCAACAGCUACACACUACAGGGCCGACGCAACUUUGUCCUGGCUACCUAUGGUGUCCUAGCGUUGUCAGCAGCAGCCUAUAUGAUACACAAACGGAGUAAAGAGGACCCCAGAGUAGCCAGCCCCACUGCCUGACUGACACCCUCUCUCAAUGUUCAAUGUCCAAUGUCCAACGCUUUAUUGACCUGAUAUUCACAUUGUUUUCCAAUACUACCAAAUCAGAGAUUCAUAACAGCAGCGCUCUCUCUCUCUUCCGCUCCCUCCCUCUCUUCCGCUCCCUCCCCUCCCUCUCUCUCUCACUCUCUCCCUCCCUCUUCCGCUCCCUCCCUCUCUCCCUCCCUCUUCCGCUCCCUCCCUCCCCUCCCUCUCUCUCACUCUCACUCUCUCCCUCUCUCUUCCGCUCCCUCCCUCUCUUCCGCUCCCUCCCUCUCACUCUCACUCUCUCCCUCCCUCUUCCGCUCCCUCCCUCUUCCGCUCCCUCCCUCUUCCGCUCCCUCCCUCUUCCGCUCCCUCCCUCUUCCGCUCCCUCCCUCCCCUCCCUCUCUCUCACUCUCACUCUCUCCCUCUCUCUACCGCUCCCUCCCUCUCUUCCGCUCCCUCCCUCUCACUCUCACUCUCUCCCUCCCUCUUCCGCUCCCUCCCUCUUCCGCUCCCUCCCUCUUCCGCUCCCUCCCUCUUCCGCUCCCUCCCUCUUUUCCGCUCCCUCCCUCUCUUCCGCUCCCUCCCUCCCUUUCUCUCUCGCUCUCUCUCUCUCUCGCUCUCUCUCUCAAUGUUAAUAAAUAGAAUUUAAUCCAGUCACGAUGUCUCUGUGUCGUCUUGGUUUAAUCUCUAACCCAGAAUAGAACGGAGCAGAAUCCAUCCUGGCAUUCAGACUAACCGGUAACCAUGACAACACACUACUGGGAGCUCCAGGCUGCAGCGUGUAUGUCUGGCCACGGGGUGGCGCUGUGGAGAGAGAGGGGGAGAGAGAGAAUGUACUACAUAAACUGGGUGGUUCGAGUGCUGAUUGGCUGAAAGCCGUGGUAUAUCAGAUCGUUUACCACGGGUAUGACAAAACAUUUUAUUUUUACUGCUCUAAUUACGUUGGUAACCAGUUUAUAAAAGCACUAAGGCACCUCGGGGGUUUGUGGUAUAUGGCCAAUAUACCCCAGGCUCUCCGCUUUGCGUCGUGCCUAAGAUCAGUCUUUGGUAUAUUGGCCAUAUGCCACGUCCCCUCUGGCCUUAUUGCUUAAAUAUGCAGCCUUACUGUAUGUAGCCUACCUUUCUGGUUAUAUAUGGUCUCUAUGGAAACAAGGGCCUGUCGCGCCAAAUAGUGUCCCCCUCUACGUCACAAUGGGAUUGGAUAAACUAUUAGCGUCCGUUGCUAUAUCAACGGUGUGAUGACCUAAUAAUUAGAAUUUUGGAGAUCAUUACAGCCUAAAUGACGUUCUUUUCAUCAUCGCUAUGCAAACAAGGCUGAUUUCCACUACAAUUUUGCUGUUUAAACAAGUUUUGUUUAGCUAAUAAAAUGAAAACAUUAAUUCAAACUAUUUCUUUGGUACCUUGUUAACAUUUCAACAUGAAAUCCAUGUCUUAAACGUUGCUACGUUUCGUAAAUGGCAAAGAAAACGUGUAAUCUGCUUGACACAUUAAAGUUACUUACCCUACAGA